GGAAAAUACACCGACACUUUGCUAUUCAAAGUGUGUGGUCCGUGGACCAGCAACAGCAGCCUCCCUGGGAGCGCGUUAGAAAUACAGACGCCAGGCCCCAGGCCAGACCGACCCCAUCAGGACCCGCAGUCCAGCGAGACCCCCGGGCGUUUCCCACGGACACUGAUGCACGCGGCUCUAAAUCUCGCUUGGGAACAAAUCCUUUCAACAGGUCUUUGUCUUCAGGUUAUAGUACUGAAUGCUAUGGUGAUACGUCUAAUUUUAUUUUACAUCUCCCAUAAAAAUUAGAUUUUAAAAAUGUUCAUUUCUCUUGCCCGCCAUGGGUACGUUUGUGAAGGAGGCGUCACAGAAGCGCCGCAGAAAGAGCGAGGGCGAGCCCCUCAGUUCGCAUCCUCAGCCUCACGGCGUCAGCAGAAUGGAGGGGCAGGCGUCUCAGUCCGUCUGUUGACCAAGAUUACUCGUGCUUGGAACCAAAGAAUCCUUAUUACGAAAGAAUUUACAACCAGAUGUGAUGUUGAGGAUAAAGGUAAGGAAGAUUUUAAAAAAGCAAAAACAGGGGCCAGCCCAGUGGCGCAGAAGUUAAGUGAGCACAUUCUGCUUCAGCGGCCCGGGGUUCACCGGUUCAGAUCCUGGGUGUGGACAUGGCACCGCUUGGCACACCAUGCUGUGGCAGGCGUCCCACAUACAAAGUAGAGGAAGAUGGGCAUGGAUGUUAGCUCAGGGCAGUCUUCCUCAGCAAAAAAAGAAAAAGAGGAGGAUUGGCGGCAGAUGUUAGCUCAGGGCUAGUCUUCCUCAAAAAAACUUUAAAAAACAAACAGAAGAGGAGACAAUAGUUCAGUGUAUUAGUGAGGAACAAUGGAAGGCUAGCCAGCUAGGACCAUGGUCAAAAUCAUGUCACAGACUCAGUUCAGGGAAGGGACACCACUGCUGCUGCCUCUCUGUGCUGAGUGCCACCGCAGCCCCUGGGCUCUGGAUGCUGCCACUGAGAUCAGGGCCACUGCUGUGUCUGAACAGUGGACAUGGUGCUGCUCCCUCAACCUAAAUGGGAUUUUUCCCUAUUCGGAGUCAGAGAUCCAGCGGGUGCUUAUAACUGACUGAGUGGCGGUCACAUGUUCACACCAGCUGUCGAGGAAAGGGAAAGUGAGCAUCUGCCAUUUCAACUGCUCUGGUGGAAGGGGAAGGUGCAUGGUGCAGAAUUUCACAUAUUGUGGUGGAAGAUCCUGCUGCUGGGCAGCUCAUGUCUACAGUUUUCAGUAAAAUUAGUUGGGUGGUGUCAGAAAUGGGUCAAAAGUGAGGAUUAUGAGAAAG
rnacentral:lncRNA from 1 species